rnacentral:rRNA from 1 species
AAUUCGAUUAGAGUUUGAUCCUGGCUCAGAUUCGAUAUCGCUGGCGGCAUGCCUUACACAUGCAAGUCGAACGGCAGCACGGGAGCUUGCUCCUGGUGGCGAGUGGCGAACGGGUGAGUAAUACAUCGGAACGUACCCAGGAGUGGGGGAUAACGUAGCGAAAGUUACGCUAAUACCGCAUAUUCUGUGAGCAGGAAAGCGGGGGAUCGCAAGACCUCGCGCUCUUGGAGCGGCCGAUGUCGGAUUAGCUAGUUGGUGAGGUAAAAGCUCACCAAGGCGACGAUCCGUAGCAGGUCUGAGAGGAUGAUCUGCCACACUGGGACUGAGACACGGCCCAGACUCCUACGGGAGGCAGCAGUGGGGAAUUUUGGACAAUGGGGGCAACCCUGAUCCAGCCAUGCCGCGUGAGUGAAGAAGGCCUUCGGGUUGUAAAGCUCUUUCGGCGGGGAAGAAAUGGCAACGGCUAAUAUCCGUUGUUGAUGACGGUACCCGCAUAAGAAGCACCGGCUAACUACGUGCCAGCAGCCGCGGUAAUACGUAGGGUGCGAGCGUUAAUCGGAAUUACUGGGCGUAAAGCGUGCGCAGGCGGUUUCGUAAGACAGACGUGAAAUCCCCGGGCUCAACCUGGGAACUGCGUUUGUGACUGCGAGGCUAGAGUACGGCAGAGGGGGGUAGAAUUCCACGUGUAGCAGUGAAAUGCGUAGAGAUGUGGAGGAAUACCGAUGGCGAAGGCCGCCCCUGGGUUAGUACUGAC